ensembl:lncRNA
CAGUACCUCACUGCUCAGCGAGUGAGAUCCUCCUACACUCUCCCUCACACAUCUCCUCCUUGCCUUCAGGCCUUCCUCUUCAGGGUUGUUUUGCCAUCGCACUGCUGCUUUUUCUUGCUCAAGCUCCUACUUGGUGUACUGCCCUGUGCUCACGUGGCCUGCAGCUUCCUCCUCUGCUGGUAGCAUUCAGCGCUGUCACUCCCAGAAGGAUGAGCAGGGUUUCUGCCUCAGCUUCCUUACUUACACAGCCUCAUGGAAGAAGGAAGGAAAGGGAAAUCACUGAGCAUACAUUUAUUGAACAGGAUAGACUUUCUGAAGCUGAAGACUUUAAUUUGCUGCCGAUCAGAAAAGAGAGGAGCUGGCCAUCACAAUCUCACUGAUGGAUAUACCUGAUGGACAAUUUGGCUUUCCCAGCUGUCUCCUGAAGAGCAGAAUUAUGGAGCCCAGAAGACUAAAAUCCAAAGAACAUGUUCAUUCUCCAGCUACAGUGCACAGUGCACUACUGACAAGAGGUGGAGAUAGGAAAGAGGUGGCCUACUGUCUGCUUGGCACGUUGAGUACUGGAUAGAUCUCUUAUACUCAUGUCUCAAGGACACCAGAUCUGGGAAAGACCAAGGCUGGCCUUAACAUCUAUAGAAAACUGCACAGAAGAUAAAAAGAGAAGCAAAAAACAAAACAAACAACAAAAAAAAACAAUAAUCACAAAGAAAGGGAGAGGAAUGUAAUGAAAUAUUUGUGGGAAUGGUUUAACUUCCAAUUUCAGUAAAAAUAAUUUUUCACCCAAGUAUCAAGAGAUAAUAAACCAGAAAUUAAAUUCUUAAAAAAACAAACAAUCAUCUUAGUGAUUUAUAACAUUGUUCCUUGAUCAUCAGCUGGAGAGUUAAAUUAUCUAGAUGAGAUACACAGUAAUGUGGGGUUACACAUUGUUUUUUUCCAAGAUAUAUGAGCACCAUGUGUUAUAACUUCCUUGAGGACUGCAUUGUGGUUAGGCCACUUUGUUGAUUUUUUUUUUUGUUUGUUUGUUUUUAGAGUUGUUGUUUUCUUAUGAGGAAAGACUAAUCUCACAAAGAAAAAGCAGUUCCCUAAAAUGCACUCUGGAUUUUAUUAGGCACAGAUUAGUACUAUUUCCUGACACUGUUACUCCUACAAUAUAGCUUCUGCACCCAUCCGUAAGCAAUAGCGUGACACAUCAUUAUGAAGCUCUAUGGACUGUGUUUUUAAUACUGUGAUUACAUAAGAAAGCACAUGUAAGUAAGGACCUGGUUCUGUACCCUCUUAAGUCAGUGGUGCAAUUCUGAACCACAUAAAUAAAUCAGAUUUAUAGUUGUGAACUUGACAUUAAUUUUAUUUUUAAAAGAAUAUGUAUCGUAUGAAGGUAUAUCAAGUUUAUGUUUGAAAUAAACAUCUAAUAUAUAAAAUAUUAAAGAACAGAAUGUGCUUCCCACUGCCCCUUCCCUUCCCUUCCCUUCCCUUCCCUUCCCUUCCCUUCCCUUCCUUCCCUUCCCUUCCC